CCUACGGGUGGCAGCAGUGAGGAAUAUUGGUCAAUGGGCGCGAGCCUGAACCAGCCAUGCCGCGUGCGGGAAGACGGCUCUGUGUGUUGUAAACUGCUUUUGUCAGGGGGUAAACGCGGGUACGCGUAUCUGGCUGAGCGUACCGUACGAAUAAGGAUCGGCUAACUCCGUGCCAGCAGCCGCGGUAAUACGGAGGAUUCGAGCGUUAUCCGGAUUUAUUGGGGUUAAAGGGUGCGUAGUCGGGCGGGUAAGUUAGGGGUGAAAUCCCGGGGCUGAACUUCGGAGUCGCCGUUGAGACUGUCGGGCUAGAGUGGGGGAGCGGUAGGCGGAAUGCACGGUGUAGCGGUGAAAUGCUUAGAUAUCAGGCAGAACACCGAUUGCGAAGGCAGCGUACCGGGACACAACUGACGCUGAGGCACGAAAGCGUGGGGAGCAAACAGGAUUAGAUACCCUGGUAGUC
rnacentral:rRNA from 1 species